rnacentral:lncRNA from 1 species
GGAAUUGGAGGCUAUGAGGUUGGGUUCGUGUAUGUAUGUACAUAUGUAUGUAUGUAUGUAUGUGGGAGGUCUGGGGCGUUGAGGAGGGGAACUCGCCACCACAGACCAACAAACGCUGACUUGGGCCCUUGCCCCCCGGCCCCUUCCCCGCCCCCGGCCCCGUCCUGUCGCGUCUCCUUUCUGGCUCUUCCUUACCCCCCAACGUACAUACAUACACACACCUCCCUGCCCCCCCUCCUCCCAGCUGACGGCGACGCCAUGCGGCUGGUCCGGGAGUUGGAGUUCAAUUUGAAGUCCGCCCUGGGGGCGCUGGAGAAGGCCUCCGGCGACCAGAACGAGAUGACGGGCAAGGUCAUAAUGAAGGUGAGGGGGGGGGGGAACUGGCGGGGGUGUGAGUUGUAUGUGUGAUGUGUGUGUAUGUGUUUAUGUGUGUAUAUAUGUAUGUGUGUACACGUGUGUAUGUGUGUAUGUGUGCGAAAUGCGAAAGGAAAACGUUUGCCGAUCUCAAGAGCAAAGCAAUACCACCCUGCCGGAGUCCGCUGCCGAAGN